UUUGAUGUACGUGACAAAUUAGCCAAUAAAAAUCAGUCGACCAUCUUCGGUAGCAGCCUAUUAUGCCCCGCUAUAUUAAACCUUCAUACGGCUGCCUAUAAUGAGAAACGAGAGAAAAUUACGAUAAUAGUAGUAGUAUACUACCACUCGCAAUAGAUAAUAAAAUAAUAUUUGAUGAUCGUGGAGAGUUCUUCUACUAUUAUAUUAGUUUCCAAGAUAUUUCCAUGAAUCCAACCAGUUAAAGAACAUAGAUACAGAGACACUAUCAGCAACCACAGGACUUGCAGAGACCAUGGAAUUGCACCAAACCUAAAUCUUGACUCAGGAACAUCAGGGUUAUUAUAAUUUGAAGCAGAAAAAUGGUUGGAACAAUCUUUAUUGCAAUCCUUUAAUGAAAUGAUCUGGCGUACCUCCAUCCAUGAUUUCUUCAACAUAGUGUUAGAAACCGAUCUAUAAUUUAUUUUAUUUUCAAUAAAUUCUAAUAUUCGA